UAGCAAGAAAAUAGAUUACACGAGACGACAACAAAAAACUCAAAUUGGAGACGACAUCAAAAUGUCUGAAAAUUAUUGUAACGUCAACAAAGUUGUUUGCUGCUGGACGGCGCCGAUGAGAAGCUCCAACACCAAACUUCCCGCCCCAUUGAUAGUUGCUGGAUGAGCGAUAGCAAACUCGACCAAUGAAAACGUCUCAUCAUGCCAGCGUGCCCAUUUGAAAGACACAGAAAGACUGCUCUGAUACCCAAUCAGGUGCCAAACUCUCAAGCUAUUUCCUGAAGACGUUCAUUGACUAUAUAACGCUAGAAUGCAUUUAUUGUGUCCAUAACCCUUUUUUUAUUUAAAUAAACAAUUCAAAUAUGUUGUUCAGAAGCAGCACAUACGCAUUGGAACAGGGCUUCACCUGGUCUCCAGUGUUUCUAUUCUGCUUGAAUCAGGCCUGCCUGUAGAAGAACAUCGUUUCAUGGCACUUUAUACCUUUAACAAUGACUUAAUUGUCAGCAAUAAAACAGUCAAUCAUUUAAAAUUAUGGAAUCAAUAACUGAAUAAUGUUCUGUUACAGACAAAGGGUUUAAUGGUUGGGCUUACAAAAUUAUAUUGCUGAGUUUAUACUUUUGGAAUAGAAUUAUGUGGCACUGAAUUUGUUUUACAGUACAUUCGAGCUUAAAAUACAUUCCUUGCAUUUACAUAAGAAUAUGGAUGAAAUACAGUAAAAGAAAUAUUCAUUAUUCACACAUAAUUGAGUGAAAUCUUGAAAUUGAGUGAAUUAAUCUUCCUUUAAUGUCUGCUAUCCUUGUCAAUAUAAAUAUGUGCUCAAAUCAGUCAACACCACUUUGUUUUAAGCUGGUAAUGAGAUUCAAAACUUGUCACGCUGCAGAAAAAACUUCAUGGGAAAAGACUGAAAUCAAAAUCAUAACUACAUACUGCUAGCAGCCACACUCAGAAGAAAUUAUAUUUGCCGAUGACAAGGCAAACAAGCAAUUAUCACUAAAAAGUAGAGGUCUAACUUAACAUUUCAAAUGUGGAAUGAAGACUGCUUUACAAAGUGGUUUCUCAAAUUAACUAUGUUGUGAGGCAAGCAAGAGCAUUGCAAUUGGAGCACAAUAUCAGUAUUCAUGCAACUUCUCAGAAACCCUGAGCAGAAACCGUGUGUAAGUGUGUGUGUGUGUAUCCAUCAGUGAGUGGGUCUAUGCAUGCAUUUCUCAUGUCAUGUGAGCUGCAACGGUGAUUUGAAUUUUUAGACCAAAAAAAACAAAUCAGAUAAAAA